UACGUAGGGUGCAAGCGUUAAUCGGAAUACUGGGCGUAAAGCGUGCGCAGGCGGUUAUGUAAGACAGUUGUGAAAUCCCCGGGCUCAACCUGGGAACUGCAUCUGUGACUGCAUAGCUAGAGUACGGUAGAGGGGGAUGGAAUUCCGCGUGUAGCAGUGAAAUGCGUAGAUAUGCGGAGGAACACCGAUGGCGAAGGCAAUCCCCUGGACCUGUACUGACGCUCAUGCACGAAAGGCGUGGGGAGCAAACAGG
rnacentral:rRNA from 1 species